AAAGACGUGUCGAAUUUGACCCUCGUAAAUGUCAGUUUUAUCCGUUUUAUCAGAGUUCAAAGUGGCUUUCACAUUCGCCAUUUUGUAGUCUCCUUGCAUAUAAAUUAUUUUUUAGUCAUUAAAGUAAUCAAUUAGGCUUCAAAACAUCCACAGCUGUUAUAACGGAGCAUGAAAAAAAUAAAUUGGAUAAAAUUUUAUUAAUGUAAUUACUCACAAAUCCAAUCAUCAGUAUUGGAAAAAAAAUUAAAGAUAUUUUGUUAUUUUAAUAAUAAUAAAAGUUUUAUUUGAAUAAAUUAUCAAUAUGAUGGAGGUGGAGGUACCCGAGUUUUCAUCAAAAGAUGAUGAGAUUCAGUAUUGGAUGGAGUUGGCACAACAAAUGUAUAAUAGAAAAGAAGAUGUGGAGCAUGAAUUUGAAGAGUUUCAAGAAAGUUCACAAAUGUUAGAAAAAGAAUUAGAAACAUCAUUAGAACAGUCAGAAAAGACAAUCAGAGAACUACGACAAAGGAACUCCAGACUUGCUACAGAAAUUGAGCAAUUAAGAUCCCGUUUAGAUCAACAAGCAUCUGAUUGUUCUGUAUUUCAGACACGUGCUUCUGAGCUUGAAGCACAACAUGAACAACUUUUAAAAUACAUUCGUGAAUUAGAGCAAAAAAAUGACGACUUGGAAAGAGCUCAUAGAAUAAAUCUUGCCUCAGAGGAAGCGAUUGAAGCUAAAUUUCAUUCAGCUAUCGAAAAAAAUGCUUUACUCGAAUCAGAACUUGAUGAAAAAGAAAACCUAAAGGUAUUAGUUCAAAGACUGAUGGACGAAAAUAGAGAUCUUAAACAAGAAAUUAAACACUUGAAAAGACAUAUGACAGAUAAUGAAAAAUCAUCUGAUAAGAUUCGAAACGUGGUGGACAGUAAUAAGCUGCAAGUGGAACUUGAAUCGACUACACCAGUCAUAACACCAUUAUCUCCUCAAAAUAUAUCUACUCAUCCGACUUCACCACCAUUUAAACUUACAAAUGGGGUCAUAAACAACAACAACAAUAACAACAUGAAUAUGCCAAUGUCACCGUCAGCAAAGAUCCAAGCAAUGAACUUGAUUGGCGAUUUAAUGAGAAAAGUCGGACUCGACAGGUGGGUCUGCAUGGAUUGUAGGAGGGUCAAGUGCUCUUGUCAAAGUGAGAAUAAAUCAGAUCUCGCGAAGCCAAAUCCAGUCAAAACAGCAAUUCAAUGUAUUAGUCAACAACCCAAGCCAACCAAGUGCUGAUUCUAUCCUGAUACCUCUUGUUGCACUACUGGCUUUACAUCUUGUUUGAAAAGCAGGUUUUAUGCGGUGGAAAAGAAAUUAAAUACCUGCAGAAACGCAUCGCGAGAGGAUCAAGCAAUGAGAGAUUUGUACAG
rnacentral:misc_RNA from 1 species